rnacentral:rRNA from 1 species
AGAGUUUUAUCCUGGCUCAGGAUGAACGCUGGCGGCGUGCUUAACACAUGCAAGUCGAACGGGAAAUAUUUCAUUGAGACUUCGGUGGAUUUGAUCUAUUUCUAGUGGCGGACGGGUGAGUAACGCGUGGGUAACCUGCCUUAUACAGGGGGAUAACAGUCAGAAAUGGCUGCUAAUACCGCAUAAGCGCACAGAGCUGCAUGGCUCAGUGUGAAAAACUCCGGUGGUAUAAGAUGGACCCGCGUUGGAUUAGCUUGUUGGUGGGGUAACGGCCCACCAAGGCGACGAUCCAUAGCCGGCCUGAGAGGGUGAACGGCCACAUUGGGACUGAGACACGGCCCAGACUCCUACGGGAGGCAGCAGUGGGGAAUAUUGCACAAUGGGGGAAACCCUGAUGCAGCGACGCCGCGUGAAGGAAGAAGUAUCUCGGUAUGUAAACUUCUAUCAGCAGGGAAGAUAGUGACGGUACCUGACUAAGAAGCCCCGGCUAACUACGUGCCAGCAGCCGCGGUAAUACGUAGGGGGCAAGCGUUAUCCGGAUUUACUGGGUGUAAAGGGAGCGUAGACGGUGUGGCAAGUCUGAUGUGAAAGGCAUGGGCUCAACCUGUGGACUGCAUUGGAAACUGUCAUACUUGAGUGCCGGAGGGGUAAGCGGAAUUCCUAGUGUAGCGGUGAAAUGCGUAGAUAUUAGGAGGAACACCAGUGGCGAAGGCGGCUUACUGGACGGUAACUGACGUUGAGGCUCGAAAGCGUGGGGAGCAAACAGGAUUAGAUACCCUGGUAGUCCACGCAGUAAACGAUGAUAACUCGUUGUCGGCGAUACACAGUCGGUGACUAAGCGAAAGCGAUAAGUUAUCCACCUGGGGAGUACGUUCGCAAGAAUGAAACUCAAAGGAAUUGACGGGGGCCCGCACAAGCGGAGGAACAUGUGGUUUAAUUCGAUGAUACGCGAGGAACCUUACCCGGGCUUGAAAGUUAGCGACGAUUCUUGAAAGAGGAUUUCCCUUCGGGGCGCGAAACUAGGUGCUGCAUGGUUGUCGUCGGCUCGUGCCGUGAGGUGUCGGGUUAAGUCCCAUAACGAGCGCAACCCCUACCGUUAGUUGCCAUCAGGUCAAGCUGGGCACUCUGGCGGGACUGCCGGUGUAAGCCGAGAGGAAGGUGGGGAUGACGUCAAAUCAGCACGGCCCUUACGUCCGGGGCUACACACGUGUUACAAUGGUAGGUACAGAGGGCAGCUACCCAGCGAUGGGAUGCGAAUCUCGAAAGCCUAUCUCAGUUCGGAUUGGAGGCUGAAACCCGCCUCCAUGAAGUUGGAUUCGCUAGUAAUCGCGCAUCAGCCAUGGCGCGGUGAAUACGUUCCCGGGCCUUGCACACACCGCCCGUCA